rnacentral:rRNA from 1 species
UACGGGAGGCAGCAGUAGGGAAUAUUGGUCAAUGGAUGCAAGUCUGAACCAGCCAUGCCGCGUGCAGGAAGACGGCCUUCUGGGUUGUAAACUGCUUUUGCCAGGGGAUAAAAGGCCCAUGCGUGGGACAUUGAAGGUACCUGGUGAAUAAGCCACGGCUAACUACGUGCCAGCAGCCGCGGUAAUACGUAGGUGGCGAGCGUUGUCCGGAUUUAUUGGGUUUAAAGGGUGCGUAGGCGUCCCGGCAAGUUUUAGGUGAAAUGCCCAAGCUCAACUUGGGAGCUGCCUGAAAAACUGCCGGGAUUGAGUACAGAUGAGGUAGGCGGAAUUGACGGUGUAGCGGUGAAAUGCAUAGAUAUCGUCAAGAACACCGAUAGCGAAGGCAGCUUACUAAGUUGUAACUGACGCUGAUGCACGAAAGUGUGGGGAUCAAACAGGAUUAGAUACCCUGGUAGUCCACACUGUAAACGUUGAUGACUCGCUGUGUGCGAUAUACAGUACGCGGCCAAGCGAAAGCGAUAAGUCAUCCACCUGGGGAGUACGCCGGCAACGGUGAAACUCAAAGGAAUUGACGG